rnacentral:rRNA from 1 species
ACGACGCUGGCGGCGUGCCUAAUACAUGCAAGUCGAACGGUCUUUCUAUGAGCUUGCUUCCACUGAGAAGAUAGUGGCGAACGGGUGAGGUAACACGUGGGUAACCUGCCCAUAAGAGGGGGAUAACAUCCGGAAACGGGUGCUAAUACCGCAUAGUUUUCUUGAUUGCAUGAUUGAGAAAGGAAAGACGGCCUUUGUGCUGUCGCUUAUGGAUGGACCCGCGGCGUAUUAGUUAGUUGGUGAGGUAACGGCUCACCAAGACGAUGAUACGUAGCCGACCUGAGAGGGUGAUCGGCCACAUUGGGACUGAGACACGGCCCAAACUCCUACGGGAGGCAGCAGUAGGGAAUCUUCCGCAAUGGACGAAAGUCUGACGGAGCAACGCCGCGUGAGUGAAAGAAGGUUUUCGGAUCGUAAAACUCUGUUGUCAGAGAAGAACAAGUUGGAGAGUAACUGCUCCAGCCUUGACGGUAUCUGACCAGAAAGCCACGGCUAACUACGUGCCAGCCGCCGC